rnacentral:lncRNA from 1 species
GAUCUUAAGUCUAUAGUGUGGAGACACUUGGAUGAAAGUGUAGGUAGUUGUUAGAGAACAACUUGCACUGAACAUGACCAACAUGAGAAACCACUUGGAUAUCUACUCACUCGUUAGUGAUUUUCUCAAUACUGUAGUAGUGUGACUGGUCCUUUGAUCUACAAUGUAUUGGCUAUUCACAAUGAGACUACUUAGUUUGACUGCACAUUCCUUUGGUCCCUAGCUAUUUGGGUCCUUGCUAUGUAUGUUGGCUAUUGUAGGUUUAUAUUCGCUGUCUGGAGUAGGAUGUACCUAGAUGGAAUCUAUUGAUUUUGAUAGAAAAGGAGUAAUUCUAUGCAAUUCGUAAGACUGAAUUCAGGAAGUCUCAGGCCAAAGCAAGAGUGAAUAUUGGAAAAAAAAAUUUAUGAGAUUCACAAGUGAACUCGAGUCGAGCCAAUCUUGCAUAUGACUGAUGAUGGGGUUUGAUGAGUUUUUCAUGACCUCCAUCAAGUCGAAACUCACGAUAGAAGGACUGAAUCACAUGGUAACUGCAUAUAGGGAUUCAUACUUUCAUUCUCU